rnacentral:sRNA from 1 species
AAAUAGCCCUGAUUGAAGUGGAAAUAAAAAAUGCUUUCAUUGUAUGAAGGCAUUUUUUUAUUGCAACGGAAAGCAGGAAAAUGG